rnacentral:rRNA from 1 species
GAUAGUACCUUACUACAUGGAUACCUGUGGUAAUUCUAGAGCUAAUACAUGCUAAAAACCCCGACUUCAGGAAGGGGUGUAUUUAUUAGAUAAAAAACCAACGCCCUUCGGGGCUCCUUGGUGAAUCAUAAUAACUUAACGAAUCGCAUGGCCUUGCGCCGGCGAUGGUUCAUUCAAAUUUCUGCCCUAUCAACUUUCGAUGGUAGGAUAGUGGCCUACCAUGGUGGCAACGGGUAACGGGGAAUUAGGGUUCGAUUCCGGAGAGGGAGCCUGAGAAACGGCUACCACAUCCAAGGAAGGCAGCAGGCCGGCCCGUGCCCCCGCCCCGCCCGCCG